ACACCCGGCUCUCUCGGCAUCUCAGACCCGUUUCACACAAUCAUCAGGUGAGCCGAGGAUCCAUUGGAGGAAGGCAUUAUCUGUAUCCAGAGGAAAUAGCCAAGGAUAUUCAAGGUGUGCCUGGGAAGUUUGAGCUGCAGCAGUGGAACCUUAAUGCCCAGGAUGAUCCUGUCUAACACCACAGCGGUGACGCCCUUUCUGACCAAGCUGUGGCAGGAGACAGUUCAGCAGGGUGGCAACAUGUCGGGCCUGGCCCGCAGGUCCCCCCGCAGCAGUGACGGCAAGCUGGAGGCCCUCUACGUCCUCAUGGUACUGGGAUUCUUCGGCUUCUUCACCCUGGGCAUCAUGCUGAGCUACAUCCGCUCCAAGAAGCUGGAGCACUCGAACGACCCAUUCAACGUCUACAUCGAGUCCGAUGCCUGG
rnacentral:lncRNA from 1 species